rnacentral:rRNA from 1 species
ACAAGAAAUAACAAUACGGGGCUUAAUGUCUUGUAAUUGGAAUGAUGGGAAUUUAAACCUCUUCCAGAGUAUCAAUUGGAGGGCAAGUCUGGUGCAGCAGCCGCGGUAAUUCCAGCUCCAAUAGCGUAUAUUAAAAUUGUUGCAGUUAAAAAGCUCGUAGUUCUGCAUUAUUGCUUUUGCUCC